UCUUUAGAGUUUGUUAAAAUAAGCUCAAGAUUCAGGCGGUUUAUCCGGUCCAGAGUUUGAAUCUGGCUCAGGACGAACGCUGGCGGCGUGCUUAACACAUGCAAGUCGAACGAUGAACCACUUCGGUGGGGAUUAGUGGCGAACGGGUGAGUAACACGUGGGCAAUCUGCCCUGCACUCUGGGACAAGCCCUGGAAACGGGGUCUAAUACCGGAUACUGAUCCUCGCAGGCAUCUGCGAGGUUCGAAAGCUCCGGCGGUGCAGGAUGAGCCCGCGGCCUAUCAGCUAGUUGGUGAGGUAACGGCUCACCAAGGCGACGACGGGUAGCCGGCCUGAGAGGGCGACCGGCCACACUGGGACUGAGACACGGCCCAGACUCCUACGGGAGGCAGCAGUGGGGAAUAUUGCACAAUGGGCGAAAGCCUGAUGCAGCGACGCCGCGUGAGGGAUGACGGCCUUCGGGUUGUAAACCUCUUUCAGCAGGGAAGAAGCGAAAGUGACGGUACCUGCAGAAGAAGCGCCGGCUAACUACGUGCCAGCAGCCGCGGUAAUACGUAGGGCGCAAGCGUUGUCCGGAAUUAUUGGGCGUAAAGAGCUCGUAGGCGGCUUGUCACGUCGGUUGUGAAAGCCCGGGGCUUAACCCCGGGUCUGCAGUCGAUACGGGCAGGCUAGAGUUCGGUAGGGGAGAUCGGAAUUCCUGGUGUAGCGGUGAAAUGCGCAGAUAUCAGGAGGAACACCGGUGGCGAAGGCGGAUCUCUGGGCCGAUACUGACGCUGAGGAGCGAAAGCGUGGGGAGCGAACAGGAUUAGAUACCCUGGUAGUCCACGCCGUAAACGGUGGGCACUAGGUGUGGGCAACAUUCCACGUUGUCCGUGCCGCAGCUAACGCAUUAAGUGCCCCGCCUGGAGACGCCCCCCGG
rnacentral:rRNA from 1 species